CGCCUUGUCGGCUGCCAUGGGCAUGGGGCGGCUCCGGGUGCGCAUGGCGAGGACGGAGUCCACCGGCGUCGCCGUCGGCUUCCGCGCGCCGCAGUUCGAGCUCCCGGAGCCGCUGACCGGGAAUCUCUAGACGUUGGAUGAUUUCGAGGGCAACCCGGCGCUGCUGGUCAGGCACAACAGCUCGCCGCCGGAGUUCUUCUCCAGCCCCGUCGUGGAUAAUGCAAGACGCUGCUGAAGCUGACGAUCCCGCGAAUCAAGC